CAAGGGGUAGUUUAAAAAGAAUCACAGCUUUGGGGGCUGUGGACAGGAGUUAAAAUCCCCUCCCCUUGA
rnacentral:tRNA from 1 species